GCCCUUCGGCAGAGGCAGAGGCAGGAAGGGGAGGCUCUAUGAGUUCAAGGUCAGCUUGUUGUACAUAGUGAGACAUUAUCUCAAAGAACAAAUAAGAACAAGACCUCACCUCAAAAUAAAACUUUUUUAAAAGGCUAGUCUAUAACUCAGUGACAGACUACUUGUAUAUCGUGUGGGAAGACCCCACCAGCAAAGAAGAAAAAGUGACAAAGAUUACUCUUCAGGGCUGGUGAUGUGCUUCAGUUGGUAAAGUAUUUGCUGGGCAUACACAAAGCUCUGGCUUCAGUCCCUAGCACCAACCACAACUGAGCAUGAUAGUACAAGCCUGCAAACCCAGCUUCUGGGAGGCUAUGGUAACAAGAAGAUCGGAAGUACAAGGCCAUCCCUAGAUACACAGCAAGUGUGAAGGUAGCUUAACAAUCAUAGUCACCUGUAAUAAAGAGACUCAAGAAUAUCAGUCAAUGGCCUCUCUGAAGUUAACAUUAAGUACAUUUUUACUAUUGAAAAAAAAACUAUCCAUGGGGCUGGAGAGGUGGCUCAUCGGUUAAGAACACUGGUUGCUUCCCCAGAAGUCCAGGGUUCAAUUCCCAGCAUCCACAUGGCAGCUCACAAACAUCCAUAACUCCGGUUCCAGAGGACCUGACACCCUCACACUGACAUACAUGCAGGCAAAACACCAGUGCAAAUAAAAUGAGAAGAGAUAAAUCAUUUGUAAAACACAACCCAUGAUCCUGUAGUUUUUCUCCAUGCCAUGUGUAUACGGUCUUUAAAAGUCUUUAACACACAUACCCAAAGAUAAUACACAUGGAUCUUAGUUCUCAUCUAUGCCAUAGGACAGCGCUUCUCAACCUGUGGGUGGAGACCCCUUUGGGGGAGUUAAAUGGCCCUUUCCCAGGGGUCAUCUAAGACCAUCAGAAAACACAGUUAUUUGCAUUGCAAUUCAUAACAGUAGCAAAAUUACAGUAGCAACAAAAUAAUU
rnacentral:lncRNA from 1 species